UAACGCGUGAGGAACCUGCCUCAAAGAGGGGACAACAGUUGGAAACGACUGCUAAUACCGCAUAAGCCCACAGCUCGGCAUCGAGCAGAGGGAAAAGGAGUGAUCCGCUUUGAGAUGGCCUCGCGUCCGAUUAGCUGGUUGGUGAGGUAACGGCCCACCAAGGCGACGAUCGGUAGCCGGACUGAGAGGUUGAACGGCCACAUUGGGACUGAGACACGGCCCAG
rnacentral:rRNA from 1 species